rnacentral:lncRNA from 1 species
AUUAACCUUCUAUUUGAAACCCGACCCGUGUUAAAUUAUAAUUUGUUGCCCGGCCCGAAAACGACCUAACCUAGACAGCACCUAUAUAUAAACACAGCUUCUUGUUUCUACAAGGGUUUCAAGAUUGGCGGAAGAGAGUAAAAGAAGAUGCCGGCUGGUCACGGUCUCAGGUCGAGGACGAGGGAUUUGUUCGCUCGGCCAUUCAGGAAGAAGGGUUAUAUCCCCUUGACAACUUACCUCAGGACCUAUAAGAUCGGCGAUUAUGUGGAUAUCAAGGUCAAUGGCGCCGUUCACAAGGGCAUGCCUCACAAGUUCUACCAUGGCCGAACUGGACGCGUAUGGAAUGUUACCAAGCGCGCCAUCGGUGUUGAGAUGAACAAGCAGGUAUUGCUCACAGGCCUCUCUCUCUCUCUCUCUCUCUCUCUCUCUCUCUCUCUCUCUCUCUCUCUCUCUCUUUAUUUUCUUUGGUGAUUUCAGUAAGGAUUUCUUUUUGGAGUUCUGGUUAUUUGAUAUUCAUCUUGUUUAACAUUUCCACUUAUUUUGGUAUAAUCAUCACCUAUUGUUCCGUAGUUUUACGUUCUGUAUUGAAAAUGGUGAUUUUUGUUUGAGAAUCAAUAUAUUGUUGCAUCGCUUUUUCAUUAAUAGAUCCAGGUUAAAAAUCCGGUUUUACUUAAUUCAGUCCGUUUAGUGUGCUUAGUUCUCUUGUCGAGAAAUGAUUACAUAUUUGGUUGUUUAUUUAUUUAUAUAUUCAUUUCUAGGGGAACUGAUAAUUUGGGAAGUGGAUUAGAUAGCAAGCUGACAUAUUGCUUAUUUUUUAUGAAGAAAUUCGCGUUUCCAAUAUUCUUUAGUGACUUUCUUAAGUUAGUAACUUCUGAUAAUCAGUUAUAAUCUCAGUUCCUUUUACACUAUUUAUGCGAUAUGGAGGUUCAAAGUAUUCUAACUUACUUUGCAUUUUUUGGUUUCUGAAAAUUUGGUAUUUUAUUUAUUUUCAUGGGCUUUGGGGGCGUUUGUUUGGUGUUACAUUGUUUGUUUCCUUGCUUUCUCAAGGUGAUUAUUUUAAUUGCAGGCUGAAUCUUCUUUGCUAUAUUUUGUGGUUCUGAAAAUUAACCUUUGCUGUGAUUUUAUACAGCUUAACAUAUUUUGAGGUUUGUCAGCGGUUCUGGGUUUUAGGCUAUCAAGGAUUCUGUUCUUGUGCUGAUGUUGAAUUCAUCAUUUAUGGUUCUGGGUUUUAGGCUAUUAACGAUUGUGUUCUUGUGCUGAUGUUGAAUUCAUCAUUUCGGGUUCUGGGUUUUAGGCUAUUAACGAUUGUGUUCUUGUGCUGAUGUUGAAUUCAUCAUUUCGGGUUCUGGGUUUUAGGCUAUUAAAGAUUAUGUUCUUGUGCUGAUGUUGAAUUUGUCAUUUAGGGUUCUGGGUUUUAGGCUAUUAAGGAUUCUGUUUUGCUGAUUUUGAAUUCAUCAUUUACUUGAUUGUUUUAAGAUCACAUGCAUGUAUAUUAUGCAAUAUUUUAGAAAUAAAUUGCGGUCGGAUUUGCUUUAUAUUUGGAUGGUUGAGGAAGAUUUUAUGCAAUUGGCUUCAGGUGGGUAACCGCAUAAUCAGGAAGAGGAUCCAUGUGCGUGUGGAGCACGUGAUGCCUUCAAGGUGCACUGAAGAAUUCAAGUUAAGGAAGAUAAAAAAUGAUGAACUGAAGGCAGAUGCCAAGGCAAAGGGUCAGGUCAUAAGCACAAAGAGGCAGCCAGAGGGCCCAAAGCCAGGUUUCAUGGUAGAAGGUGCAACAUUGGAGACGGUCACUCCCAUCCCGUAUGAUGUGGUUAAUGAUCUCAAGGGUGGAUACUAGUUCUAUCACCAUCUCUUUUUGUUCUUUCCUGGUUCUUUUUUUGGUUCUUGUAGUUCUAAACUUUUAUGGACUCAUAUAAUGUUUCUUGAGUAGUGUUAUUUUUGAAGAGAGUACUUCAUGAAUUAGGGAUUAUUUGUAUCAUCUUUAAUGUUAAAACGAUGUUUUUCUUUGCAAAGUUAAUGUCUGAUGGGUUGCAGAAUGUUUACCAUUAACCCUUAUGAUCUUAGGGUUUGCAGAUUAUUCAGCUGAAAGGAUCAAAAGAUGGUUAUGGCCUAUAUAUAUAUACCUAUUAAAGGGGACUGCUCUUAUGUCUCUAAAGCUUUCUAUUAUUGGAAGAGAUAAAUUUGAUAUUUGUCUACAUUUCACUAUAUAUAUGUUUUUGGUGUUAUUUUACAAAAAAAAAAUUACUAGUUUUAAAUUUGUAUUCUUAUUAUCAUUAUAUCUUAUUUAAGUUUUAUAACAUGUUAAAAACUAGGCUCUAACAUUUUCUCCUGCAUAGUUGUACUUCAUCUAUCAAGGUAUAAUCUAUAUGUUUUAUCUCAAUUAAUUCAUUAUAUUAAUUUAAUAUUGUAAUAUUAUUUUUAUUAUUUUUAACAUCUCUACUUGCAUAUUAUUUUCAUAAUCAAAUUUUUUAUCUCAUCUUUUUUAAACUUGUGUGUAUAUAUUCCUUUCUUUUUUUUUUUUGUUUUUUGUAUUUUUAAAAACAGUCUCUUCUUAGUCUUGCUCUCUUUUGAGAUCCAAUUAAUAUCAUUUGAUUUUUCAUGUACUUUUUGAAAAAACAAAUCAAAAUUUUUCUUCUUCAUUAGAUCCAUCCAAUGUCACUUGUGAAUUGUUGAGGUAGCAGGUGACAUGUCGAGUGACCGCCACAUCGUUUAAAUUUGCCGAUUUGGACACCAUGUCAGCAGCGUAUCAACGCCUAUGUAAGCAAGCAAUUCUUUUUUUUUUUUUAUAAAUAUUUUCUUAACUAAGGUUUUGUUCUCUUAGGUUUUUAACGAUGCAACUUUUUAUAUUUUAAAAUACAUAUAAAAUAAAUUUUUUUUUUACGUUUUCAUAACCUUUAUAUGUCCAUCUCUCUCUCUUUUUUUUUUUUAAUUUUUUUUUACAACAUGUUAAUUUGUUAUUUAUUUUCAAUUUAAUUCAUGGCCUCUGUAAAUAUAAAUUGUAAGAAGUUUUAAGGAGUUCUUGAAUUUGAAUAGAAAAUAAUUAUUAUUCCAUUAACAUAAUUAUGUUCAUCUAUUAUUAUUAUUAUUAUUAUCGUCUUUAUAUUUUAGUCUACUUUUUUUUUUUUUAUCUACAUAGUUUUUUAAAUUAUCAUUUUUAUAUAUGUUUUAUGUGUAGAUAUUAUGUAUCUACACUACUGUUAAAAAAAAUCUUUUAAACCAUAUUAGUUUUGAUAUUUGGAUCUCAUUAAAUAUAUAAUUUAAAAUCUAUAUAUAUAUAUAUAUUAUCUUCUUGUAAUAUUUUUAUGUCAUAUUAAAAAAAAAAAUCAAUUGAUAUAUUGUUUUUAUUUAUGUUCUUAAAAUUGAUAAUAGUUUGCUAGCAGCAGAUGGAAAAAAUUUACAAAUAGAAUAUAUUAAUUAUUUUGUAGUUAAAUUAAAAAUUUUAUAAAUAUUGUAAAAGAUCGGAACUUAAAAAAAAAAUAAGGUCAUGAAUUAAAUGCGAAAACAAAAUAAUAGAGUUUAGGAUUUACAUUCCUUACAUAAUAAUUUAAAAUACCCAAUAAGGUUACGAGAAUGUACAUUCUAAAAAAAUUACAAAAAUCAAGAAAAUAAACAAAAAAUUAAUAACUGAGCAUUUUAGGACAACCUUCACUAACUUUUAAAGGGAGUUCGAGUGGUGAAUUAUUUACAACCAUCUUGCUGAUCGGGAUCUAGAUUUUGAUCCUCUUUAUUUGAAAUAGUUAAUGAAAGUGUGAGCUACACUAAUCCAGUAAGAAUAUCACACUACUCACCGAUACAGAAACUGAAAGUUGGUAAAAAUUAUAAAACAACCAAUGGAACUCUUAAUUUAAGUAAAUUUAUUUAUCAUAAGAAAAAUUAUUUAUUUUAUAUAUUUACUGUUGCGAGAUUUUUAAAAUCGAUCUAUAAAAAUAAUAAUCCAAAUAACAUUCUAAUAUUAUAUUCAAGUGAGCAAGAACAAUAACUUUUCCUUUUUGAUUUGCCUACUGGUAUCCCUAGGAGCUUAUAGGGAUGUUCUAUUACGCAUGAACCAAUAUUCAACAUUGUCAACUAACCGGUCAUCCCAAUACCUUAUCCGAUAUGAGUGUCAAAAAUAUCAAUCCUCAAUACUCCAUUUGGUAUGAGGGUGAAUCGGACUGUCUCCAUACCCCGUUCGGUAUGAGCGCCAAUAAAUACCAUUUCUUGAUAUCCCGUUCGAUAUGAGGUAACAUUCACGGUAGGGUUCUCUAUGUACCCAGUCUGUUCACCAUUAUCCAAAAUAUCCAGUAAAACUACUAUUCAUUAAUUCAUAUGACCAAUUAAUUUUCCAUUUACAUAUUAAUUUUCAAUUUCACAAAUCAACCGUAAAUAAAACAAGACGAGCAAUAUAUAUAUAUAUAUAUAUUGAGGAAGUACUACUGAAUCAUUCAGUUAUUUCAGUAUAUCAUCAUGUAUUUAACGCUGCAAAUUCAACAAUCAGUUAAACAUGAUAAUAAAUAAAUGACUAACCGGUAUUCAGCUCCAUUGGUAACUUGUAAGUAUUCUCACUUUUUAAAUUACACAAAAUAUCAUAUUACCGAUUAUUAAGUUUUAAUUUCAUAACAGAGAAUAAAGUGAGAGAUUUUUACCCGAAUCGGUGUCCGAAACAUCGAACUUUCUACUGCGCUUACUAGUAGUUCUUGGGUUUUCUGAAUUUUUCUAGAGAGAUUAAAACACGCUCCAUUUACCUAAAAAUACCACAAAAAAUCUAAAAUUAGUAUUAAAAACUUUUUUUAGCCAAUUUUAAAAUUUCGACACGGCGGCACUGCCUCCCGCAACAGCAGUUUACCUCGGCCUGCUCGUUUUCGGCUGGUUUUUUACUCAUCCAUACGAGAAAAUACGUUAGAGUGCCUCAGUUGGCCGAAAAAAGUUAAAAAAUAAAAACUACAUGUGACAAAAUUUUUCGGUACGUCAGCUCUACUGGCUCACCUUCGCGGAUAGACAUUUUUUUCGGUCAACCUGUAGAAAACAGAACGGUAAACACAAUGAUAGAAAAAUCUCAUGAAACAAAAAACGAGAAGGGGCUCAUCGGAGGCAGUUUCGAGUUUUACCAGCGGCAGCGUCGCCGGGCUUUGCACAGAGUUUUCGACUCAUCUGCCGUUCUUUUUACUCCGAUUUGGCCAUGGGGGUGCUCGAAAUUUUAACAUUUUUUGGCGUUUGUAGGUGGUUCUGGUGCUGCGGCGGACGGCGGUCGGCUCCCUUCUCUGGCGACUGGUUCUUCUUCUCCUGUAGGAGGCUGACGGUUAGGAUUUUGACUUCGGUGUGAUGCGAGAUAUUUAUAGCUGUCUCGUUUAAAUCUGAACCGUUCAUCGCGUUUGAUUUCGAUCAUUCAUCGCGACAGUCCGAUUGCACCUGAAGAGGGAAUGGAUUCGUAUCGUCCACGCACGUGGGAACGCUUCCAGAACGUCCAAUCGCGGGUACGCGGGUUGCUAGUAUGGCCUCCCGCAUGGCACCAAGUCAGCGUGCUUUGCCACACGGCGUGUUCCGAUUCGUCAGGGCUGCUGACUAGGUGGUCUUUUGUGGCAUAAUUUUUUUAAUUACUCUUUGACCCCCAGUUUUCGAUUUUUCUUUCAAAAACACCAACCAAAUCUAAAUUUUCAUCUAUUUUUCUCAAAAUCAUUUUCAAUUUCAUCAUCAAUUUAUUUUUCAUUAAUUUCACAUUAAAUAAAAAUUUAUUAUUUUUAAAAUUUAUAUAUUUUUUAAAUUUCAAAUUAAUCUCGGACCAAAUUUCGAGAUCGGAUAUUACAAAUAAAAGAUCACAAUUAUUUUCAUUGUUGAAAUAGAGAGAAAAGAUGUGCUAGUAUGGUAAAUUUUAAGUAUAAUUCAUUCUAUAUAAGUUUAAAUAAAGUUUUUUAUUAUAUAAAUAUAACAUAUUUUCAAAAAUGGAUAUAAAUCUGAAAUAUUAAAUAUUAAAGGUUAAAAAUUUUAAAAGUAAAAAAUUAAUUUAAAAGGGAGAGAGUAAUUUUAAUUUUUAGAAAUUAUUUUAUGAAAGAAAGGGACUUAUAUUAAAAUUUUCAUAGAAAAUACUAACUGAAACCCGACCCGGAAUGUAAAUUUUAGCCCGGCCCAUAAAAAUGAGCAAACCUAGAGAGCGACUAUAUGAACAACAUUUUCGCUUGCUUAGGGGUUUCUUCAAGAGCCGCGCGAGAGAGAGAACGUGGGUAAGAGAAGAUGCCGGCUGGUCACGGUCUCAGGUCGAGGACGAGGGAUUUGUUCGCUCGGCCAUUCAGGAAGAAGGGUUAUAUCCCUUUGACAACUUACCUCAGGACCUACAAAAUCGGCGACUACGUCGAUAUCAAGGUUAAUGGCGCCGUUCACAAGGGCAUGCCCCACAAGUUCUACCAUGGUCGCACUGGACGCGUAUGGAAUGUCACCAAGCGGGCCAUCGGUGUCGAGGUCAACAAGCAGGU